GACGAACGCUGGCGGCGUGCCUAACACAUGCAAGUCGAACGGAGAAUUCGUAGCAAUAUGGAUUCUUAGUGGCGGACGGGUGAGUAACGCGUGAGCAACCUACCUUUCGGAGGGGGACAACAGCUGGAAACGGCUGCUAAUACCGCAUAAUGUAUACUGGCGACAUCGUCGGUAUACCAAAGAUUUAUCGCCGAGAGAUGGGCUCGCGUCUGAUUAGCUAGUUGGUAGGGUAACGGCCUACCAAGGCUUCGAUCAGUAGCCGGACUGAGAGGUUGAACGGCCACAUUGGGACUGAGAUACGGCCCAGACUCCUACGGGAGGCAGCAGUGGGGAAUAUUGGGCAAUGGGGGAAACCCUGACCCAGCAACGCCGCGUGAAGGAAGAAGGCUUUCGGGUUGUAAACUUCUUUGACCAGGGACGAAAGAAAUGACGGUACCUGGAAAACAAGCCACGGCUAACUACGUG
rnacentral:rRNA from 1 species